UGGCCGUGCUAACAUUUCAAUAAAGGAUCUGUCAAACUCUUCACUUACUUCUGGAAAAGUAAAUUGCCUGGGCCUAAUAUAAAUCUUCCUCACAGAGGGUAGUGAUGUAUCAAAAACCAAGAGGUGUUCUAAGUAGAUUUUUUUAUCUUUAUGUUGUCCAAUCACAGUAACAUUUAGCUAAAGUGAAUUUCAGCUCUAAAUUUCAAGAUCACAUAUUAUGUGUACCUUAUGUUUUUCAUAGGUCGUUUAUCCUCAGCUUCUCCUGAGAUAUCUUAAGACUGUGUCCUUCCCAGAAAAAUCUGCAGCAUGUCCAACUCUGCCAAAAACUGUGUGUGUAGUCAUGGUCUGAUUAAUGGGCUGGUUAGAUGUGUCAGAGUCUUCUGGCACAAACAACAGAGACCAUCUCUACCUAAAUUAAUCAAAAAGGAAUUCAGUGGAAGCCUAUGGAGACUCAGAGAAUUGGCAGUGCAGCUGGAAAGCCAGAUGUGGGAAUCAGCAGGGCUUGAGAGAGCAGCAGGCUGAGGGAGCCGGACUCAGCGCUGUGGCAGUCUGGCCAGGCCCCACCAGGAAGCAUCACAGCCUCUUUGUCCUUGUGCUGGAGGUUUGGAAUCCAGGAAGGGGGCACCUCAUGGACCUGGCUUCAUAGGGCAUUUCAUCACUGGAGUACUGUGGAUCAGUUUUCCCGCCCAGGACUUCAGGGAAGUGGCUUGAUGGCAGGGAUGACUGUCCAGCCUGGCAUGGAGUUGGUACCUGAGGGGAAGCUGAGGGUGAGGAAGGGGAUGAGCCCCAGGCCAACUGCCAACACCUAAUCAGGCCUCUUUCACCCACAUCUCCUGAUGUCUACUCCUGGGCACUGAACACCCCAGCAUUUCUCCCUCACGGGAGGGAGGACCUCAUGAUGGGACACUGUGAUUACGUUGGCCCACCCGCAUAAUCCAGGACAAUCUCUUCAUCUCAAGAUCCUCAACUUAGUCGCAUCUGCAAAGUCGUUUUUGGCAGGACACACAGGUGGGCAGAGUCAGAAGACAGAGGCGCCUGGGAGCCUGGAUGACCAGGCAGAAAGCUGUCUGCCACUGAAGAGCAUCCACGUGGGACCUAGAUGGGUUUCCACAGGAGCCCAUUUCUGGGGAGACCUGAGCAUAUUUGGAUGCAGCAGGUUCAGCUGAAGUCUCGCUUCCAUCAGCGACCUGAGAGGCGUCAUGGUGACAGGGGCGGAGUCCACAGGGAUGGGACACAUGACAGUGUGAAGGGACAGCCCUGGGGGGACAAGGGGCUGUGAGGGAGCAGCCCUGGCUGGAGGUCAAGGUUUCUGGAUAAAAACAGUUUUGGUGGGGGUCUUAAGUAUUUUUUAGUUCUGAAUGUACUCAGAAAUAAUAAAAGAAAUUAAAAAAUUUUAAAAUGUAGAGUGUAUAAACUGUAAAGUCAAAAUUCUCAGUGGUAAUGGCUAACAAUUUGUUGUUUAGAUUUCCUGAAUUUUUUUCUAUUUAUGCGCUAACACACACACAUUUUCAACUUGCUUUUUAUGCUUACUAUAUCUUGAAGAUACUUCCUGUCAUUACCUAUAAAUCUGCCUCAUUCUUUAACUACUGUUGAAAGACAUUGAAGUUGUUUCCAUUUUUUUUUCAUAUUACAAACACUGGCGUCAGUGAACAUCCUUUGAGCACCGGGAGAGCACGUCAAGGAAUCCAUAACUGGAGGACAGGAAAACCCCCUUGGAGUGGAACUGCUGUGGAAGAGAGUAGGAGCAUUUUAUAGUUUUGACGGGAGACCUCAGAGUUGGUUUCCAGAAGAGCGUAAACCUUGUGGUCUCUCAAGGGCAGACAUGAGCCCUGUGAGACGAGAUCCAGGAGCCUGACUUCUCUCUUGCUCAGGCUGGGGCUUCCUCCUCCUGUUUCAGCCAGAAGGAAAAGCUUUGGACCAUUACAAGUCUCCUGUGGGUAUUAACUUGUUUUUCUCCCUCUCCAUCUUGAACAUAAUCUAUUGGACUAAUAAAAUGCCAUGCAGACCUCAUUUCUGUGGUCCUCUGGUGGAUCCAAGAUAUAGUCUAUGAUAAGUCCUUCUCACAUAGGGGGAUAAAGGAGGCUACGCAAAGAUGAAUAUCCUAAAAGACUUAUUAAUGCUGUGAGUUCUGCUUUAGAGAAGCUAAAAGCCACCGUGUUAGCUAAUAGCUUUAUGAUCAUAUUUUACACUCCUGGAAGUUAUACAUAUCUAAGGUAAAUAUCUUUGUCAGGAAAAGGGCCUCUUGGGAUGCAGAGAAUAUGAGAAUAUUAGAAUUGGAAAGGGCAGCUAGAGAUGGUAAUAAAGUUGUGUCUCACCUAGGAAUAAUAUUGAAAAAUGCUAACAAAAUUGUUGAAACUCCCCGAAGAAUCAGUUCUCUGUGUUGCGGCUGGUAGAAUGGGUUGCAGAUGCUCCAUAUAGAAUGGAAAUUACAGGGACGUGUUGGGCACCGUGGUUGCGUCCAGGUCUGCACAGCCCCCACCCUCUUCCCCUGGGCUAGGGAGAGCCGAGGCCAUUUGAACUUGCAGUGGCUGAAGCUCAGGGGACUGCACACAUUUUGAAACCAUGUAAAGGAAGUGCCCAUCUCUGAUUGAGCGGAGGCCUUUCAUUGUGCCCUGGGUGGGGGGCAUGGCUCGCUGAGGGCAGACCUGGCAUGCCCAAUAUCCCUACGCCCCUGCACAGGCCUGAGGCUCACCUGGGGGCCACAUCCCACUGGUCCCUUCUGUGCUGCAGGGAGAGGUCAGAGCUGAACCCUCCCUGCUGCCCAUCUUCUGCCCUUUUAAUUCUACAAGUACUUUGUGAGCUCAUGUGUAUGUCGGGCAUUCCCUCUGGGAGUGUGGAAGGAUGAACAAACUCAGCCUUCAGAGCUGGAGAACAGUUGACCGCUCCUGCCCUCCGGGCCCUGUAAGGGGUGUCUGGUUCCGUGGAGACAGCAGGAGGUCUGCAGGUCUCCCUUAGGUGUGAAAAGAAGAUGGGCUCAGGAUAUCAUGACUGAUGAAAAAGGCUCGGCGGAAUAGAAUCGACUUUCCAAGUCAUUGACACUGGCAGGAAAAUGUUAACUCGGUCCAAGCAGCUUGUUCUGGUCUAAUGCCCCGGAGUGCCCGGGGCUCCGGUCCUUCCCGUCUCUUGUUCAUCUUCUCCAACACGUUUGCAGUGAAAGGGGACGUGAUGCUGUUGCAUGCAUUUGCAAACUGACGUUUUCUUCUAAGAACGGGCCUCUGACGUACAAGGUUUCCUCGUGUUUGCUGCAUUUUCUCCUUCUGGCUCUUUCUUCGUGACAAGAUAACCAUAUCCCUAGCCUCUACCUCGGAUGCUAUGAUUGGAGGUUACAGCUGGUGAGAAGACAAGAGCUCCAACAGAUGAAUUCUUAAAGACCAAGGUCCUGUUUUUACCUCAGUAGCUUAAAAAUGAUGCAGGGCAGGGAAGCACAUGGAUGCUGUGACACACAGGUGGAAUUACAGCUAAGUGGAAUGCUUUUCAAAGCUUUAGAUGGCAUUGUUAAGCCUGUGAAAAAACUCUUCUCUUCUCCUAGGUGGCUCCAUAAAUUAUGAGGUCCAGUCAGCUGCUGUGCAGGCUGGGUUUCCACUUCCUGCCUGAAAGAAUGGAACACAGAUUUGGAACAGCGUUUCUGCACAGUCUUGUCUUCUCCUCUGGCUUUGAGACUUGUGUUCCUUUUAGUAAAAUACGCUGGUUCAAAAACA